AACGAACGCUGGCGGCAUGCCUAACACAUGCAAGUCGAACGAGACCUUCGGGUCUAGUGGCGCACGGGUGCGUAACGCGUGGGAACCUGCCCUUAGGUUCGGAAUAACUCCCCGAAAGGGGUGCUAAUACCGGAUAAUGUCUUCGGACCAAAGAUUUAUCGCCUUUGGAUGGGCCCGCGUUGGAUUAGCUAGUUGGUAGGGUAAAAGCCUACCAAGGCGACGAUCCAUAGCUGGUCUGAGAGGAUGAUCAGCCACACUGGGACUGAGACACGGACCAGACUCCUACGGGAGGCAGCAGUGGGGAAUAUUGGACAAUGGGCGAAAGCCUGAUCCAGCAAUGCCGCGUGAGUGAUGAAGGCCUUAGGGUUGUAAAGCCCUUUUACCCGGGAUGAUAAUGACAGUACCGGGAGAAUAAGCUCCGGCUAACUCCGUG
rnacentral:rRNA from 1 species